rnacentral:SRP_RNA from 1 species
UCCAGGUCCCGGAGGGCGCGAGCCCGCCAACCCCGUCAGGACCCCGCAGGUAGCAGCGGUACGUGGUGUCUUGUGUCGCUCCGUCAGGCCUGGAGUA